rnacentral:rRNA from 1 species
GACGAACGCUGGUGGCGUGCUUAACACAUGCAAGUCGAACGGGAUUUAGUAAACAGAAGCCUCGGUGGAAGAUUACUAAUGAGAGUGGCGAACGGGUGAGUAACGCGUGAGCAACCUGCCUAUGACAGUGGGAUAGCCUCGGGAAACCGGGAUUAAUACCGCAUAAAAUCGUAGAAACACAUGUUUUAACGGUCAAAGAUUUAUCGGUCAUAGAUGGGCUCGCGUCUGAUUAGCUAGUUGGUGAGAUAACAGCCCACCAAGGCGACGAUCAGUAGCCGGUCUGAGAGGAUGAACGGCCACAUUGGAACUGAGACACGGUCCAAACUCCUACGGGAGGCAGCAGUGGGGAAUAUUGCACAAUGGGGGAAACCCUGAUGCAGCGACGCCGCGUGGACGAAGAAGGUAUUCGUAUCGUAAAGUUCUGUCCUAUGGGAAGAUAAUGACAGUACCAUAGAAGAAAGCUCCGGCUAAAUACGUG